UACGUAGGGGGCGAGCGUUGUCCGGAUUUACUGGGCGUAAAGCGCGUGUAGGCGGGUCGUUAAGUUGGGGGUGAAAUCCCGAGGCUCAACCUCGGAACUGCCUUCAAAACUGGCGACCUGGACCUAAGUAGAGGCAAGUGGAAUUGCGAGUGUAGAGGUGAAAUUCGUAGAUAUUCGCAGGAACACCAGUGGCGAAAGGCGACUUGCUGGACUUAUGGUGACGCUGAGACGCGAAAGCGUGGGGAGCAAACAGGAUUGAGAA
rnacentral:rRNA from 1 species